rnacentral:rRNA from 1 species
GGGUUAAGUCCGUAACGAGCGCAACCCUUGUCCUUAGUUACCAGCACGUUAUGGUGGGCACUCUAAGGAGACUGCCGGUGACAAAACCGGAGGAAAGGUGGGGAUGACGUCAAGUCAUCAUGGCCCUUACGGCCUGGGCUACACACGUGCUACAAUGGUCGGUACAAAGGGUUGCCAAGCCGCGAGGUGGAGCUAAUCCCAUAAAACCGAUCGUAGUCCGGAUCGCAGUCUGCAACUCGACUGCGUGAAGUCGGAAUCGCUAGUAAUCGUGAAUCAGAAUGUCACGGUGAAUACGUUCCCGGGCCUU